rnacentral:ncRNA from 1 species
UUCCGAUCAAGCCUAACCCGUCGCGAGGCGGGGGCGGAAAACCACGGAUCCCUCGGGGAUGGCCGGGUCGCCGGA